AUGGGUUAUUAUUCAUUUGAUGAGAGAAAAUUAUGUGGAUGGUUUUUGGUAUCAAUUGGAUCCAUUUUGUUUGUUGCUUACUUCUUUCUCGCUCUCUUGUCCAAGCUUCUUCCUCCUUCCAACUUUCCAAUCAUCUCUUCCUUUCAAAAUGACUGGUACUACUGCUUCUUAGUGCCAUUGACUCUCCCUAUAAUUAUGGUUGCUGUGUACUUCCAUUGGCUCAGCAUGAAGAUGUUCAAACAUGCCUAA